rnacentral:rRNA from 1 species
GGUUAAGCGACUAAGCGUACACGGUGGAUGCCCUGGCAGUCAGAGGCGAUGAAGGACGUGCUAAUCUGCGAAAAGCGUCGGUAAGGUGAUAUGAACCGUUAUAACCGGCGAUGUCCGAAUGGGGAAACCCAGUGCAAUUCGUUGCACUAUCGUUAACUGAAUACAUAGGUUAACGAGGCGAACCGGGGGAACUGAAACAUCUAAGUACCCCGAGGAAAAGAAAUCAACCGAGAUUCCCCCAGUAGCGGCGAGCGAACGGGGAGCAGCCCAGAGUCUGAAUCAGCUUGUGUGUUAGUGGAACGGUCUGGAAAGUCCGACGGUACAGGGUGAUAGUCCCGUACACCAAAAUGCACAGGUUGUGAACUCGAAGAGUAGGGCGGGACACGUGGUAUCCUGUCUGAAUAUGGGGGGACCAUCCUCCAAGGCUAAAUACUCCUGACUGACCGAUAGUGAACCAGUACCGUGAGGGAAAGGCGAAAAGAACCCCGGCGAGGGGAGUGAAAAAGAACCUGAAACCGUGUACGUACAAGCAGUGGGAGCACCUUCGGGUGUGACUGCGUACCUUUUGUAUAAUGGGUCAGCGACUUAUAUUCUGUAGCAAGGUUAACCGUAUAGGGGAGCCGCAGGGAAACCGAGUCUUAACUGGGCGUUAAGUUGCAGGGUAUAGACCCGAAACCCGGUGAUCUAGCCAUGGGCAGGUUGAAGGUUGGGUAACACUAACUGGAGGACCGAACCGACUAAUGUUGAAAAAUUAGCGGAUGACUUGUGGCUGGGGGUGAAAGGCCAAUCAAACCGGGAGAUAGCUGGUUCUCCCCGAAAGCUAUUUAGGUAGCGCCUCGUGAAUUCAUCUUCGGGGGUAGAGCACUGUUUCGGCUAGGGGGUCAUCCCGACUUACCAACCCGAUGCAAACUACGAAUACCGAAGAAUGUUAUCACGGGAGACACACGGCGGGUGCUAACGUCCGUCGUGAAGAGGGAAACAACCCAGACCGCCAGCUAAGGUCCCAAAGUCAUGGUUAAGUGGGAAACGAUGUGGGAAGGCACAGACAGCCAGGAUGUUGGCUUAGAAGCAGCCAUCAUUUAAAGAAAGCGUAAUAGCUCACUGGUCGAGUCGGCCUGCGCGGAAGAUGUAACGGGGCUAAACCAUGCACCGAAGCUGCGGCAGCGACACUAUGUGUUGUUGGGUAGGGGAGCGUUCUGUAAGCCUGCGAAGGUGACCUGUGAGGGUUGCUGGAGGUAUCAGAAGUGCGAAUGCUGACAUAAGUAACGAUAAAGCGGGUGAAAAGCCCGCUCGCCGGAAGACCAAGGGUUCCUGUCCAACGUUAAUCGGGGCAGGGUGAGUCGACCCCUAAGGCGAGGCCGAAAGGCGUAGUCGAUGGGAAACAGGUUAAUAUUCCUGUACUUGGUGUUACUGCGAAGGGGGGACGGAGAAGGCUAUGUUAGCCGGGCGACGGUUGUCCCGGUUUAAGCAUGUAGGCUGGUUGUCCAGGCAAAUCCGGAUAAUCAAGGCUGAGGUGUGAUGACGAGGUACUACGGUGCUGAAGUAACAAAUGCCCUGCUUCCAGGAAAAGCCUCUAAGCAUCAGGUAACAUUAAAUCGUACCCCAAACCGACACAGGUGGUCAGGUAGAGAAUACCAAGGCGCUUGAGAGAACUCGGGUGAAGGAACUAGGCAAAAUGGUGCCGUAACUUCGGGAGAAGGCACGCUGGUGUGUAGGUGAAGUCCCUGCGGAUGGAGCUGAGACCAGUCGAAGAUACCAGCUGGCUGCAACUGUUUAUUAAAAACACAGCACUGUGCAAACACGAAAGUGGACGUAUACGGUGUGACGCCUGCCCGGUGCCGGAAGGUUAAUUGAUGGGGUUAUCCGUAAGGAGAAGCUCUUGAUCGAAGCCCCGGUAAACGGCGGCCGUAACUAUAACGGUCCUAAGGUAGCGAAAUUCCUUGUCGGGUAAGUUCCGACCUGCACGAAUGGCGUAAUGAUGGCCAGGCUGUCUCCACCCGAGACUCAGUGAAAUUGAACUCGCUGUGAAGAUGCAGUGUACCCGCGGCAAGACGGAAAGACCCCGUGAACCUUUACUAUAGCUUGACACUGAACAUUGAGCCUUGAUGUGUAGGAUAGGUGGGAGGCUUUGAAGCGUGGACGCCAGUCUGCGUGGAGCCAACCUUGAAAUACCACCCUUUAAUGUUUGAUGUUCUAACGUUGGCCCCUUACCGGGGUUGCGGACAGUGUCUGGUGGGUAGUUUGACUGGGGCGGUCUCCUCCCAAAGCGUAACGGAGGAGCACGAAGGUUAGCUAAUCCUGGUCGGACAUCAGGAGGUUAGUGCAAUGGCAUAAGCUAGCUUGACUGCGAGCGUGACGGCGCGAGCAGGUGCGAAAGCAGGUCAUAGUGAUCCGGUGGUUCUGAAUGGAAGGGCCAUCGCUCAACGGAUAAAAGGUACUCCGGGGAUAACAGGCUGAUACCGCCCAAGAGUUCAUAUCGACGGCGGUGUUUGGCACCUCGAUGUCGGCUCAUCACAUCCUGGGGCUGAAGUAGGUCCCAAGGGUAUGGCUGUUCGCCAUUUAAAGUGGUACGCGAGCUGGGUUUAGAACGUCGUGAGACAGUUCGGUCCCUAUCUGCCGUGGGCGCUGGAGAAUUGAGGGGGGCUGCUCCUAGUACGAGAGGACCGGAGUGGACGCAUCACUGGUGUUCGGGUUGUCAUGCCAAUGGCACUGCCCGGUAGCUAAAUGCGGAAGAGAUAAGUGCUGAAAGCAUCUAAGCACGAAACUUGCCCCGAGAUGAGUUCUCCCUGAGACUUUAAGUCUCCUGAAGGAACGUUAAAGACGAUGACGUUGAUAGGCCGGGUGUGUAAGCGCAGCGAUGCGUUGAGCUAACCGGUACUAAUGAACCGUGAGGCUUAACCUU